rnacentral:rRNA from 1 species
UACGGAGGAUGCAAGCGUUAUCCGGAAUGAUUGGGCGUAAAGCGUCCGCAGGUGGCUGUGUAAGUCUGCUGUCAAAGAGCGAAGCUCAACUUCGUAAAGGCAGUGGAAACUACACGGCUAGAGUGCGUUCGGGGCAGGGGGAAUUCCUGGUGUAGCGGUGAAAUGCGUAGAGAUCAGGAAGAACACCAGUGGCGAAGGCGCUCUGCUAGGCCGUAACUGACACUGAGGGACGAAAGCUAGGGGAGCGAAUGGG